CCUACGGGAGGCAGCAGUGGGGAAUCCUGCGCAAUGCGCGAAAGCGUGACGCAGCAACGCCGCGUGGGGGAAGAAGGCCUUCGGGUUGUAAACCCCUUUCAGGAGGGACGAAGCCCGGGCGGUUAAUAGCCGACUCGGGUGACGGUACCUCCAGAAGAAGCCCCGGCUAACUACGUGCCAGCAGCCGCGGUAAUACGUAGGGGGCAAGCGUUGUCCGGAAUCAUUGGGCGUAAAGAGCGUGUAGGCGGUCCGGUAAGUCGGCUGUGAAAGUCCAGGGCUCAACCCUGGGAUGCCGGUCGAUACUGCCGGACUAGAGUUCGGAAGAGGCGAGUGGAAUUCCCGGUGUAGCGGUGAAAUGCGCAGAUAUCGGGAGGAACACCUAUGGCGAAGGCAGCUCGCUGGGACGUUACUGACGCUGAGACGCGAAAGCGUGGGGAGCAAACGAGGAUUAGACUACCCGUGGUACGUCCACGCCGUAAACGAUGGGCACUAGGUGUGGGAGGUGUCGACUCCUCCGUGCCGGNGCUACGCAUAGUGCCCGCCGUCGGGAGGUACGGCCGCGACGACGUAACUACAAGAAGUAGACGGCGNGAGACGUGCCGACGGACGACGACGAGGGAGUAGG
rnacentral:rRNA from 1 species